CGCACGGAAACCAGGUCAGUAAUAACGUCAGGAGAACGUGAAAAACAGAAACGCCGAACGAGACGCUAGACCCCGAGUAGCAAGCUACAAAUGGAGAAAAAAAAAAAAAAAAAAAGAGAGACCGAACAUAGCACCGGAAGACACUCCGCCGGAGAAACCAGAUAGCGCUCCAUACUGCAAGGUCCUCUGACAACGCGGGAUACAGCGACAUGUGCCGCCAGACUCCGCCUGUUGCUCUGCUCCAACGUGGUAGGGAGGCGUCACUCAAGGUCAUUGACAUUUCACCGCAGCUUAUGCGAGGACUAAAUCUAUUCUUCUUCCACUCUUGAGUACUAAACAGGCCUGCAACGUUAGGGCUAAUGUGUGUCGAGAAGUCAAACAGCGCUGAUUUUGAUUUGGGAUUGAGUUUUAGCUAUUUAUUCUUCACAAGGUUGUGCAGCAGAUGUGAAAUUAGAUUCCCAGGUGUAUUUUUAUUAGACAUGUUCUAUUCAAAAAGUAUGCUGUAGUUAUUGAGGGAGGAAAAUUGAAAGGGUAUAAUUGCUGUUUUAUGUAAAUGUUAGUGUUACUGAAGUAAGCUUAAAGUUCAAAACUUUAAGCUUACUUGAAGCAAAACUGAGGUACUUUUGAAAUAUCCUUGUGGUUUUAAAAAAACUUAACAGCAAUCUGCUUUAUUUUUCUUAUUUGAAAAAUUGCUUUAUUACUCUACUAGGUGUCCCAGAAGGGUCAACAAAAUGGAGUUAGUCAGUUGUCUGUUUGCUGUAAGGGUGCUGUAGAUUUUUUUUCUGUUGCCUUUUAGCUAUUUGGUGUUUUGUUGUGGCUAUUUUCUUGUUUGAGGGUUUUUUGCUAGUGUUUUGUGGCUGUUUGCUGCUGUGGCUCUUUGUUGGUGUUCAUGGUGUUGUUGGGGCCUUUGCAGUAAUUGGAGUCAAAAUUGCUUCAAUCAUACUUACCUCUUUAUGGUGGUGUACAAAUAAAGCGGCACAAAACCAUGA